CUCUCUGUGUGAUUUGGGUUUCCCAUCGUUUCGAAUUCUUUGUGAAGGAGCGACUAGCCAGGGCCACGUACUCUGCUUCAUCUAGCAAAAGGAGUGAUUCUUUAUAUAAUGUCUGAAAACAUGUGUGAAGAGGAAAUGGAAAGAGAAGAUGAAGAAUAUCAUGAAGCUAUUAAGUUACUAUUGAUGGUAGUACAAGCAAUAGUUCAAGUGCUAAAUGCGUUAAUGGUUAUUAUACAUGAUGAUCAUAUUGAACGUCCAUUGGCUUGACGACCUAUUAGUAGAACUGGAUACGAUUAUAUUAACAAGGUAUUGAAUGAGGAUCCUUAAGAAUUUCGAGUGCUAUAUAGGAUGUAUCCGGAUGUUUUCUUAAAGCUAUGCGAUGUCCUUACGGAAAAGACGUAUUUGAAGGGUACAAGAUUUAUUUGUAUUGAAGAAAUGGUUGCUACAUUUCUACUCACUAUUGGUCAAAAUUAUUGAUAUUGCCAAACUUGGGACACAUUUCGCCAGUCACAUUUUACAACAAGCAAAAAUUUCAACGAUGUUUUGAAGGCCUUGAACACAAUUGCACCAGAUUUGAUGGUUUAACCUGGAUCCACGGUGCCAACUAAAAUAAGAGAAAGUACAAGAUUUUACCCUUAUUUUAAGGUUAGUAAUUAGUACUUGAUGGAACACAUAUACCAGCAAUGGUAUCGGGACCUGAAGUAGCUAGCUAUCGUGAUCGUCAUGGUAAAAUAUCACAAAAUGUAUUAGCUGCUUGUAACUUUGAUUUGGAAUUCAUAUAUAUUCUUAGCGGAUGGGAGGGUUCAGCUCAUGACUCCAAACUAUUACAUGAUGCUGUAUCAAGGAGGAACAGAUAUAAAGU